AGCAGUCGCCGCGGUAAUACGAAGGGGGCUAGCGUUGUUCGGAAUUACUGGGCGUAAAGCGCACGUAGGCGGAUAUUUAAGUCAGGGGUGAAAUCCCGCAGCUCAACUGCGGAACUGCCUUUGAUACUGGGUAUCUUGAGUAUGGAAGAGGUUAGUGGAAUUGCGAGUGUAGAGGUGAAAUUCGUAGAUAUUCGGAAGAACACCAGUGGCGAAGGCGGCUCACUGGACGACUGUUGACGCUGAGGUACGAAAGCGUGGGGAGCAAACAGGAUUAGAGACCCGAGUAGUCCCUGUCUCUUAUCC
rnacentral:rRNA from 1 species